CGUGACCCUUCCCAUGAAACCACCACAGAUGUGUCUGUAUUGCGGGUAGGCACCACACGGCCAGGGGCUGAUGGGAUAUCUGGUGGCAGCUUGUCUCCAACUGUGGUGGCUUCUGUCGGAUCUGAUGGUUCUCCAACGCCAGCUGAGUUGCAGCAACGAACGCGGAAACAGGUCCAUAGCGGCUACUGGUUCAGAGACACGGGAUGGAUGGCUCAUUCCAGCCUUAUUGACAGCACGCACGCGGAACACAUAGCUUCGUCCUUCCACAAGACCAGUAACAGGGAAACGUGCAAACUUAACAGGAGUGUCGUUACAUUGUGCCCAGUGUGUAGUGCCAACCUCACACCUACACAGGAGAAAGAUGCAGUGACCUAUCAACAAAGUAGCCCAAAAUGCUGCUUCCGCCGUCCACAGCAGGCUGUUUCCAGGAGAGGGCUCCGAGCUCGAAAUCUGGCCCGAGCCCAGAGUACUCCCUUUACUAGGAUAGAAACCAGCUGAGAGUGAGGCGAUGGGGUGGUGGAGGGAUGCUGUGAAACUGUCAUGGGACAGAGACUUACCAUCUCUGUACCACUCGAUCUCAGGCUGGAAGCGUUGCAAUGAAGGGUAGAUGAUAACAGAGCAGCCCAAACUCAACGUCUCACCCUCACGUCCAAAAGACACACCAAACUUCUCCACAAUGUGUGUCUCGAAUGUCACACCAUACUCCAGACAUGGUGCUGCAGUACACACACAUAUUAAAUCCAGUAUUAUUUUAUGAAAAUUCAAUGUUGUUGGAUAAGAUUGGCUCCAGGAUUCAUCAUAUAGACACAUUUGUUUAAUAAAACACACAUUCAAUUCA